AAAGGAAUAGACGGGGGCCCGCACAAGCAGCGGAGCAUGUGGUUUAAUUCGAUGCAACGCGAAGAACCUUACCAAGGCUUGACAUCCAACUAAAGCUAUGGAAACAUAGUGUCCCUUCGGGGGAGUUGAGACAGGUGGUGCAUGGUUGUCGUCAGCUCGUGUCGUGAGAUGUUGGGUUAAGUCCCGCAACGAGCGCAACCCUUGUUACUAGUUGCCAGCGAGUAGAGUCGGGGACUCUAGUAAGACUGCCGGGGAUAACUCGGAGGAAGGUAGGGACGACGUCAAAUCAUCAUGCCCCUUACGUCUUGGGCUACACACGUGCUACAAUGGCUGUUACAAAGGGAAGCGACAUGGUAACAUGAAGCAAAUCUCAAAAAAACAGUCCCAGUUCGGAUUGUGGGCUGCAACCCGCCCACAUGAAGUCGGAGUUGCUAGUAAUCGCGAAUCAGCAUGUCGCGGUGAAUGCGUUCCCGGGCCUUGUACACACCGCCCGU
rnacentral:rRNA from 1 species